rnacentral:misc_RNA from 1 species
GAUGAAGAACGUAGCGAAAUGCGAUACGUAAUGUGAAUUGCAGAAUUCAGUGAAUCAUCGAGUCUUUGAACGCACAUUGCGCCCCCUGGUAUUCCGGGGGGCAUGCCUGUCCGAGCGUCAUUGCUGCCCUCAAGCACGGCUUGUGUGUUGGGCCUCCGUCCUCCUCCCGGGGGACGGGCCCGAAAGGCAGCGGCGGCACCGCGUCCGGUCCUCGAGCGUAUGGGGCUUCGUCACCCGCUCUUGUAGGCCCGGCCGGCGCUUGCCGACACAUCAAUCUUUUUUCCAGGUUGACCUCGGAUCAGGUAGGGAUGCCCGCUGAACUUAAGCAUAUCAAUAAGCGGAGGA